GAACGGAUUUUAACGCAAGAGGAAGUUCAAUGUGAGAAAAUUUUCGAGGAGACCGUACAAAGGCGAGAUGAUGGCAGGUUCGUUGUGGCUUUGCCGUUUAAAGGAAAGCCGAAGUCGCUAGGUGCGCAGUAUUCAGAUCCAGAUGCACAAAGUUCCAGUACCUUUAAGAGGGCCGUUUUAUAUCCCUAGUAUUGCCCAAUCAUCGUCACUAGGGUGAUGCAAAAGGGAAGUUAAAGAAAAUUUCAUUUCACAAUUCACAUGAUGCUCACCGCAUAACACAUUUUCAGUAGAUUUGGUAGUAGCUGCAUCAAUUAUUCCACUGGUCCAGACGAUCAACAAUUUAAUCAAUUGGUCCAGACGAUCAUC